rnacentral:lncRNA from 1 species
UUUUUUUUUUUUUUUUUUUUUUUUUUUGGCUAGGGGAUUUUUGCAUAGUUAGCUCCUCUACCUCAUUUGGGUCUUGGUUUGAAUGCUCUCUCUUCAGAAAGGUCUUCCUCGAUCACUCUUUCAUGAGAAGACAAUCCCCCGUUGUUCUCCAUUCCCUUACGUGACUUCAUUUCUCUUCGUUAAGGCUUACUGUUACCGAAAACUAUAUUUAUUUUACUUAUCGAUUAGCCAUUACUCUCAUUAAUACAUAAACUCCGCAAGUACAGGGAUGUUGCACGUCUCACCAGGCCACGGUUGUGUUCUCAGAGCCUGCACAAAUCUUGGCAUAAGGCAGGGCCCCACGAAGUAUGUGUUGCGUGAAUAAAAGAAUCUUAUUCCCAAACAAGGCUGAGGUUAUCCUCCAAAACACUCUUUAAUCCCUCUUCCCUGCCGCUUCACUCCCAGUAGACACAACAGGCCUGGUACACACUGCCACUUCUACCUGGAUUAAAGCAGCAGCCACCCAACUUCUCCCCAACGCCACCCUGUGUCCUCCUCCAAAGAAUCCCCCUGGCAGGUGAUUUUAUCAAAACACGGCUCUCAUGGAGCCACCAGCUCCUAUUUAAAGCCUUCUCCAUGGUUCUUAAGAUAAAGACCAAAUUCUUACUGGGGCCAGUAAGACACGGUAUGGACUGGCUUCAGCCUUGGCGUGCGGCCUCAUCUCACUCCACCGGCCUCUUGAUGUUCCCCCACCGCUUGGUUUCACUGUUCCCUUCUGUGGCCGGGCCUCUGCACAAACGUCCUCUGCUGUCCGGCCUGCUCGCCUCCUCACCGUCCCUCAAACUCUCCACCUCCUGCUUCAGAUACCAAGCAGGUGUCACUUCCUGGGGUUCCCGUCACCCACGCCCAUAACACUGGGUGGCUCCACUCGGGAACAUUUACCUUUAAGUGUAAUUCUGUAAUCAGCAGUCCUGGUGGGUUUUUGGAAAUGAAUGAUUGUCCUCAUUUGGGGGACUCUUCACUCCAAGACAGCACAGAUCAUGCACUGGCAAAUCUCUGGGGGCAAGACUAGUGCUUGGGCCCGGCUGGCACUGAGGAAAUACUUGCUGAGUGAGUGAAAAAGGCGGCACCUUGUUAGGAAGCAAAGAGCUAGAAGUUGGCAUCAAAUCCACGUAGCAAGACUGCCCACACGUACUUGAAGAAGAGCUGAAGACAAAGAUACGGGUGAAAAUCUGCAAGAUACGAAUGAUAAACCGCUAUUUAAACAGAAGGAAACCCAGGGAAGCUCAGGGCAAUGCAAACCCUGGAAGGGCACUGCCUGCAGACUGGAAAAGAAUGGGACGAAGACAGUCUGUGUCAUUAAGGAACUAGACCAGAACCAGUCAAACAAUUGGCUAAAACUACAGAGUUAUGACUUAGGGAAUGAUGGUAACUAGGUGAAAGGUUACACCUCCAUAUCCUAUUAAGGACUCCUUGACUCAUCGGUCUUUCUGGAAACAUUUGCCUCUGCAAAGAAACUCUUCAGGCUUGCCUUCUUCUUGGCGUUUUCAUUUAUAAAAAUUCUCCCAAAGAGUCCUCAGCACCCCCCCCCCCCCGCCCCGGAAAAUGUUUUAAAUACAUUUUACUGUGGUCCGAUAGGUGUACACCAAUAGCUCAGUGAGGCAAGGGCCAGGGAGGGGAUGCCAUAUAACAGAAAGAACCCACUUUUGCUCCUGAUUAAAGUCACUCAUGUAUGACUUCAGGAGCCGUACACACUAAAAAUUCUGGAACAACGCAGGAAAUUAGGGGUUACGGGACGAGGCCUGAUUUGCAAGCCUCCACUGUUGUCCUUUUAAUCACCUGAAGCCAGAAUCUGUGUCACCCUAAGUUCUCCGAGGUUCAGGAAGAGGGCAUUUGUCUAUUUUGCUUUAUCCCAGGGUUCUUUCAAAAGGUGAUGUAACACUGGCGUGCAUGAAAAGCAAGCUGACUUUGGCACCUGAUCCCUGGGUGGCUCAGCGGUUUGGCACCUGCCUUUGGCCCAGGGCGCGAUCCUGGAGACCCGGGAUCGAUUCCCUGGGCUGAAGGCUGAGCCACCCAGGCCGCCCUUGACUUUCACUUUUUAAGAUUCCUCCCACCAUCCUUUGCUUUGCUCACCCUGUACCUACAUGGUCAAGGCACCCGCACACUCAGUGUGGGUUAAAAACAAAACAAAACCCUGUCCUUUGUGGCUGCAGCGGCUGUUGGCUGGGCCUGUGGAAUGGCAGAAAGAAUGACAGAAAUAAUGUCGCGCUUUCACUUCCCAGCCCUUGUGGUCCAGGAGCUCCGCAGGAUGAACUUCCCUCAUCUGAGAACCAAGGGCACCUGCUGUUUUUAUUGUUUCCUGGCAUUUUCCCCCCAACCCCUGUCGUGUCACUUAAUGUUAUGCUGUCAAGUAACUAAGCCAACCCCCCUCCCCCGACUUUUUGGAGGCCAGCUCCCUUUUCUCCAGGCUGUCCUCUUAAUUUCCCUGAACAAGAGCAGUUGGGAAAUCUUCCUGCUGCCCUCCAUCCUCCACCCUCCACGGGAGUCCAGGAGGCACAGCUGGGUUGCAGCAGGUCCUGCCCGGGUGUCGGUGGGCUGGCUGUGCUCGGGACCUCCAUGCAAACGUGCAGCUCUUGUCCCUUCCAUGGCCAGCAUGGCUGAUAGAUGAAGCCGAAGCCAGCUCCUUUGGCCACAGAUCCUAUUCUCCAUGUGAUACUGAGCAAUGCCCCACGGACGCAGAAUUUCUAUUGCCACGUGGUCCUGGUCUGUCCGGUCUCCAAAGCGACACUGCAGAUCGUUUUCUACUUUUAUUGUCCCAAGAAGCCUAAACACUGUAUUGAUGAUCCAAAACUGGAAUAUUCCCUUUGUAUAAAGGAACUCCUUUAUACAGAAUUUAGCAGGUAUCAUUUCUAUGCUGUCCAGAUCAACAACUUCUUGCCUCUACCCACCCAAGAACACAAAAAAACUCUGAAGCUUGAAACCAGCCCCACCUGACAGGACUUUCUGUACGGAUGGAAAUGCUCUGUGUCUGCUCUCCCCACAACAGUAGCCACUGCCCACAGACGGCUAUCCAACACUUAAAACGGGGCUAGUGUGACUGGGGUAUUAACAUUUUUUAUUUUAAUGAACUAAAAUGUAAAUGUAAACGUACCUAGUGGCUUUAAAGAAUUGUAAAGUAUCUCAGAUCUUGCCCUACUUGCAAGCUAACAAAUAAGCGUGCCACAGUUCCAGGGAUGCUGGGAGAAGACCUGAGACUUCUAAGUAUGGACAAGGGGCUACACUUCUCACAAAACGAGCAGAAGCAGGAGUAUUAACCUAGUUGUACCAGCUCUUUGAAGCCCAGCUCCCACAGUAUGAUGCACACAGGGUAAAGGGAUACCUAUAGACUUAAUGAUUUGCAUUACAGAAGGGGAACCUUGAGUUCAGAGUACCCCAAUCUCUUACACUAGACAGUUAGCUUUUCUUAAAAAAAAAAAAAAAAAA